rnacentral:rRNA from 1 species
GACAGAGGGUGCAAACGUUGUUCGGAAUUACUGGGCGUAAAGCGUGUGUAGGCGGCCGCGCAAGUCGGAUGUGAAAGCCCCGGGCUCAACCCGGGAAGUGCACCCGAUACUGCAUGGCUCGAGUACUGGAGAGGUUGGUGGAAUUCUCGGUGUAGAGGUGAAAUUCGUAGAUAUCGAGAGGAACACCGGUGGCGAAGGCGGCCAACUGGACAGAUACUGACGCUGAGGUGCGAAAGCGUGGGGAGCAAACAGG